GGAAGCCGGUGCGAAUCCGGCGCGGCCCCGCCACUGUAACGGGCACGAUCGUAACGGCUCACGGCCACUGGGGGUGUUCACCCGGGAAGGCGAGCCGAUCGCCCGAAGCCAGGAGAC
rnacentral:ncRNA from 2 species